AUUUAUAUAGUAUAAUAAUUAUUCCUAACUUCCAAUUAGGAGAUCUACAACGUAGUAUGAAUA
rnacentral:tRNA from 1 species